CUUCAGCUGAAAUACCUGACAACCCCGUCGUUUGGUAAUUAACCAGAUGCUGCUGCUGCUGUUGUUGUUGUUGGCGUCGUCUUCCACUUCUUUUGCGGAAUAAACUUUUCGACGAAGACGUGGAGGAAUUAGCUCGUCGACGUUGUGCUGCAUUCCGCUCGAUGUCUCAAUGUACUUGCAAUCGAACGACGUCGCCAAUGAUUUACCCGCUGCAAGAUAAACCGUAAAAAAGAAAUUUUCUACGGUGGCUGUUGAUGGCACUAAUGGCACACGCAAGUUUACAAUUUCAAAGUGCGUGGUUCGGCUGUUGGCGUACAGGACAUCCACUUUGACGCCUCAGUCGCAGUUGGUUAUAAUAUUAUGCACCCGGAGCUGUUGUUGACGUGAGUCUAUUGUUCUGAACCUUUUUUUUUUUUUUCGGUUGGUGGGGGAAAAAGUGGGAAAACUGUUUAGUUCUUGAUGAUCUGCGCUGCCAAAACAUCAGUUGAGUUUCCGACAAACUUUUUCUUUUCAUACCAACGACACAACACGAUGGAUAUCCGCAAUACAGGUAUACGUGCGGAAAUGUUACGUUCUUUAUUUUUCGAAAAAAAAAGAAAAAGAAAAGUACAGCCGACAUAAAGUUUGAUUCAAUUUCUCCUUUGACUGUCUUACGUUAGAGAGUUUAGCACAAGUUCUCGUAAUGUAUUUGAUCAAUGUCCCGUCUCUCUUUGGUCAUUGUUGACGACGAUAGAAUGUUAAACCGUUUCGAUGAACAGUAUUAUAAAUAAUUGGAUAUCGCGCAUUAGCAUUUCAUUGUUAUUCUACAUCCCUAGACACCAUUCGAACCCGUAUUUUCUUUUUCUCCCCCGAUCCACCCGAUCCAGGGCCGGAAGGGAAACGCCUGCUGACGUGACUGUCUUUUUCAGUUUCCCCCCUUUUUUUCUUGGUGGACAUGUGCUGCAUUAUUGUGUGCAUUUCCCGUAUUCUAGGCCAUGCAUCCCUCCGAUCCUGUAUUUGUGAUGGGCUGAUAAUUAUUACAUUCCCCCCUAUCGAUUUCCUUUUUAUCUCUUCUCGAUUUUCCUUCGGCCAUCUUCCUUCCUUUUUUCUAAACGAAAGGAAAGAUGAUGGAACGAGCUUUUUUUCCCCUCAUAUUUCCGUCAUCGACCGUAUUUUUCUUGAUAUUGUUCCUAUAGCGUCUAGUGUCUAAUAAAUAGGAUAUAACUCGCUCGCUAUUGCAUUUCCAACAACCUUUUGUUUCUAGUCAUUUUGGCUGUUUAUUAAAAAAUAGGGGAACAAACAAAAUGCCAUUGUCAAGACCUGCUUAAUGAGAAAAUUUUUCGGUAAACAAAAGGUUGAAAAAAUGCAUCGUAGGAAAUGUCGAGAAAGACGAAGAGGACGAAUUGUUUUGCAUUUCGUAUACCGUCCCCAUCAACAUCGAAAAUAAAAGAAGCGAGAAUGCCCAGCCCGUUGCUUACUACACCCUAGUUUUACUGUGCGUAAUUAACCAGCCGAUGAGCUGAGAUACCUCGUUAUUGUUCAUUUUCUUCUUUAGAUAUUCUCUUGUUUGGCGACGGAUUGGCUGGCUUUCGAUUGUUCAUUAUUCUGACGUGUCUGUCACUGACUCUGGAUUGUGUCUUUAUUCCCGCCUCGUUCGACUCGUUCAAAAAACCGCCUGCGUCAUUUUCUAUGUAAAGAUAAGGUUUGGAUUAUUACUAAAGGUCGAUACAUUUGCUUAUAUUAGAGUGCACCGUCCGCCUCUUUCGUCUGUCCCCCCACUGCGCCAAUUUUCUCCAACGGUCAAUGCCGGAGCCAAAACCGAUGAUGGAUGCUAAUGUUGCACCACUUAACUGCCGACUCGCAACAAAAGAACGUGUUGAUGUAGUACACAAACGAGAUCACGAGUAAUGUCUUCGAUUGACAUUUAUUAUAGUCUUACGUAGUACGUACUUAAGGGCUCUUGUAAUCCAACAUCCAAUACAUCGACGCGUCUGUUGAAUGCUCAGCAAUUCACUUGAGAUUGCACACAACUUUCACCGCAGAUUUGAUUAGGGUGUAGCAGCUGUUUGGGAGCCAAGCGGUCGUUUCUAUUAUUGGUCCAUUUACUAUACAAUAUUGAUCUUCGACUGAAGUUUAUAUAUUUGUACGGCGGGCUAUCUCAUACGAUCGGUUGGCUACAAGACUUUUUCUCCGGAUAUUUUUUGUUCGGCAUCGGUGCACCUUUCCAUCAACUUUCACCGACCCACCCAAUUAUUCAAUAGGGCUCUUUGUAAUACGUCUACGCUCGGCAUUUGGGAAAUCAAUUCACAGCAACGCAUUCGUCCUAAUAAUACAAAGUUUGUACAGAAAAGUUUCCGUUAGUAUUCGUGUAUAUAUUAGAGCCCUCGCGGAGCCGAUAUUCGUCUGUUAGCGAAUGGAAUCGGCGCCUCGCAGAGGCAAUCGCCGUAAGAGCACAUCGUCGGUUGACUGUCGGAGCCGAAGAUCGAUAGAUAUAUGUAGGGGAGUGCAGUCCGUACGAUAUACAGACUGUGGGAAAAAAAAGAGAGCAGCUGUCACCGACUGUGGCCCGCGCACGCGAUUAUGGGUUUCUUUUAUUCUUACUUUCUUAUAGAUUUCAAAUGCGACAAUAAGAAAUCGAUUUUUGCCAUUCUGCUUCCUAUACGUAAUACAUGGCCACCACUAUAGAGAUGGUUGGAUCUAAGCUUUUCCUAUCUACAUAGUGCUUCUCUGUGAAUCUGUAAAUAGUUUUACGUAUAUACAGCUUACAAAUACCUUGCCCUACGGGAAAACGAGACACAAAAGCCAUUUUGUUAUGCGUCUUUUUACUUUUAAAGGCUGGCGUCUACCCUAGCCUUUAAGUAAAUAUUCAAGUCAAGACGAAUACCUUGAGGGGAAAUGAUUCGAGAGCGGACGAGGUCGAUCUUGUUAGCCACUAGAAUGACAAUCGGAGGUGGCAACAUUUGCAAAGGUGCUAUCCGAACCGGCGAUGUCUGGUCAAUUGGAGCGUCCGUAGUGGACAGUGUCGUCGCACUUGCCGUUUGAUGACGUUGUCGGCCAUAAAACGAAUUCGUCAUGGACGAUGUACUGCUGUUGCAAUUUCGAUUGUUUGUUAACGAAUGUCGCCAUAAAAAGUGCAGCACUUCUUCCACCUCCCGCAGACUCUCGGCAUCCACAACACUGUGCAUUCAUUCCGGUAAUUAGAUGUACGUAUGCAUGACAGGUAUAUUGAAUUUCUUUUCGAUAAUGUUACCUGUACACGAUGACGAAAGCGUGUGGAUUGUACGUUGAUACGCUGUUCUCCACCUACAUCCAACGGUUUUGAUUAAUUACUUGGAUAUCAAGAGCAGUUUCCUAGCUGAACGUGUACUGGCAUAGCAAAUACUAGAAUAGUCUUAUUAAAGCAGUGUUAGACCUUUUUGCAGUGUUCACCGACGAAUCAUUACAGCAAUCCUUUCACUACAUAAAAAGGCAUCAUUUAUAUGGCCACUCUAAUCGAUUGAUCUUUUUAAUGAGUUGCGAUAACAGAAGUUACCUACACCGUACGUAAAAGGGUCCUGAUUGGAGUUAAUGUAAUGAUACAUGAUGGGCAAAUGUGUACAUGUCUCUACUCGUACUUUUUCUACGUUGAAUUGGCUAGGAUUCCUCUUUGACUUUUGACAUCUUUUUUUUCCAUUGAUGGCUUCUACCUUAGACUGGCUUAUGUGUUAUGCACGUGAAGAGGACUCGAUCUUUUUUCCCUUGAUCUUUAAAAUUUUUCUUUUCGCUCGGUUAUACGGCAGCAUCAAACAGACCACUUAAGCGCAAACCCACAUUUUUGUUUUCUUUGAUCUUUUUCUUGCAGUCUGUGUCUAGACUCAGGCCAAUAAUGACGAAUGUAGUUGCGAGAGGGUAUCCCGCAGAUCAGUCUCGCAAGCAGUUCUGCAGCAACAAAGCUUUAGGCUAUCAUAUUGCACGUAAAGAGAGAAUGCUUUCUUUCGUACUGCAUUUCUCCAUUAUUGUAGAGGUAAACAAUAAUUUUUCCAAACAUGGUCUAAAAUUUUUAUUCGUUUCCUUUUCUCUCUCUCUCGCUCUUGCAAACUUUUUGUCUUUUUAAAAUUUGAUGCCUACAGGCUACGUUUGUUAUCGACUUGCAAAACUUAUGAAUUUGAUCGGCCCAAAUAGGCAAAAGAAAAUAUAUUAUAAGCAAAGUAGCAUUGCCUUCGUGGAAAGGUAUGAGAUUUUAUUUUUUUAAAAACAAAAAAACUUGGGAUUCUACGCAUUUAAGAAGCCUGUCCAAAAAUAAAACAUGGCGGCCCACUUUUCUGACGAGUUUUAACUAGGAUUUAAAAAAUAAUGGCAUUACUCAUUAUUGUAUAUUGCCUCUGAAGCCUGUGUAUACGUGUUGUGUACAACAAUAUUGGAUCAUUUACUUACGUAUUACUAGGCGGAAAGAGAAUGAAGACAAACGUACGUGCUAGAACUUACCGAUAUUUCCCCAUGUGGAUGAUCGAUAAAGACCAAUUGAGAUUCCUCCCCGUCGAGCAAAACCGAAACGGAGCGAUCGCAGCCAAAUAGCUUUGUAGUAUUUAUGCUGCCUUACCUAAAGAAGCUUCAUAAGUGUUGAGAUAUUCAGAUGUCAUGAAUUGGGCUGUAAGGGCGGUUUUGCCAACUCCAGAGGCCCCCAACAUCAAAACUCGGAAAGGUUCUCCUAACGAAGGACCACCAGAUGGCGGUGAUGGACCAGCUUGUUGUUGUUGAUCAGCACCGGCCACCAUUAGCAAAGAUAAAGAAGCACGUCUGGAUGACUGUUGUUGCUGAACCUGAUCCGUCAACCCAUAAUGCUGGUACGGUGAGUAGUAUUGUCCUUGUUGUUGUUGUUGCGGAUGAUAGUGGUAUGGUUGCUGUUGUGGUUGGAUAGGUGGUGGAGAUCCGGCCACAUUUUCGAUAAGGAAAGACUUCAGGGCAGCAGACUUUGUCAGGCCAUUAACAAACAAUAAGAUGCAUGUGGUUGUCAAAAUUUGGUUGUAGCGUUGCCCAUGAUUUUCUUUCACCUAGUAGCUGGUAUAAUAGAACGCACGCCACACAUGCAGCAACACCAUGAUUGUCGCUGCUGCUACUGGCAACCAUUAUGUGGAUAGGCGGCCGCAGAAAACUCAAACGUGUACAAAACACACGUCAGAUAAAACAUUCGAAAAAAUUGGAAAGACUAAUGAUAUUAACCUGAUGCUGGACGUGCUGGAAUGUUGACUGACGGCGCUACUGUUCUGCUGUUUCGGAUGAGCACGCAGCGACCGACG